UGAUGACAGUGAGGCAUACUGCACGUUUUGCAAAAGAACUCUUAAACUCGGGACCCUGGGCAUCAAGGCACUGGAGUCUCACACAAAAUCCAGCAAACACCAGGAGUCGGCAAAUGCAGCACGCAAUUCCCAUGGAAUUGCCCAGUUCUGUUCAGUAGCAAGCAGCACGUCGUCAAUAAAUAAUACGGGUAAUAUUCGUGAUCUAUUGGGCUCCACUGAUACAAUGAAGGCAGAAGUUCUGUGGGCGCUUAACACAGUGGCUAAACACCAGUCAUGCAGAUCCAAUGACGGCAUCGGAGAGCUUUUCCAAACGAUGUUCCCCGACUCCACAGUUGCCAAAACAUUCCAAUGCGGGAGAGACAAGACGUCGUACAUACUCCGAUUUGGAGUGGCAGAGUUCGUCAAAAAAGAGCUUAUCUCAAAGGUGACCGGGCCCUUCGUCAUUAUGUUUGACGAAAGUCUUAACCACGCAACAAAGAGGAAGCAACUGGACCUUCACGUAAGGUACUGGGAUGACGGCCAGGUACAGUCCCGGUACCUGGGCUCACAAUUUAUGGGCCAUGCCACAGCAAACGACUUGCUGAAGGAGAUCAAAGAAUGUGCGGGCCACCUGGACCUCAGCAAGCUGAUUUCGAUCUCAAUGGAUGGUCCAAAUGUAAAUUUUAAGUUCUUUGAGCUGUUCCAGGCGGAAUAUGCUGACCUGUACGCUGGUUCUCAGCUCAUAUCUGUUGGUAGCUGCGGGUUACACACCGUACACAAUGCCUUUAAAACAGGCUUCUCAUCGUGGCAGGUGGACAAGAUCCUCAGGGCCUUGCACACAUUGUUGCAUAAUGUUCCCGCAAGACGAGAGGACUACGAGAAGACCACCAGGUCUACCCGCUUCCCGUUGGCAUGAUGUGGGCACCGAUGGCUGGAAAACCUGCCUGUCGUGAUACGAGCGUUGGAUAUCUGGUCAUCUAUGCUGGUGUACACCAAUGCUGUGAGGAGAAAGGAGCUUCCAAAUCCUGGCACUGGAAGCUUUGCUGUAAUCGAAGAAGCCCAGAAAGAUCCCCUGACUCUACCUAAGCUGCAGUUUUUCAGGAGCAUCGCCCAGCUAUUUGAUCCGUUUUUAAGGAAGUACCAGACUGAGGAGCCGGUGAUGCCUUACCUAGGCAAAGAUCUGGCAGAGUUGAUCAAGAGUCUGAUGCGUCGUUUCGUGAAACGAGAGGUUCUGCAGGACAUCACCACAGCCCAGCUUACCAAACUGGACAUAGGUGACAAGAAUAUCUUGAUGCCGGUGCACUGUGUUGAUAUUGGCUUGGGUGCUGAGGAGGCCCUCAAGGUACUAAUAGCUUAAUGUCAAAGAUUAUCAGGGGGAAGCCCAUGUGUACAGCAUUUUUGCUUACAUUCCUUUCGCAUUUCUCUGUACAGAACAGCAAAAGUUCAGACCUCAGGAUUCUUGAAUUUAAAAGGGACUGCAUGCAAGGACUCUCAAGCAUGGUGAAGAAAGUACAGGAGAAGAGUCCUCUUAAGUACAGUACCGUUAGGCAGAUGGAUUGUCUAGACCCCACAGUGAUGAGCAGUGAUCCAGACGGCUGCAAGGCAAAGAUGAAGGGACUUGUGCAGACAUUUCUGCUCAACAGGCAGCUGGCAGGAGGAGUUUGUGCUGGUACUAGGAGUUCUAGAAAGGGCUGAGGAAAAUUAUGCGUGCCACUUUCAGAUAAUCUUGUAUAUUAUAUUUAGCAUCUGCAUUUAGCAACUGAUCAGUAUUUAUUGUAUGUCAAAAUAUGAUCACAAUAUAUUUGAGUGUAGAUCUCUUAAGUUAGGUUACUCCAGCAAAUCAUUUCCAUGCACCCGUUUUGUGUGGUUUAAAGACUGUACCCCCACAGAGCUGUAAGGAAAGCCACAAUGGUGAUGACUAAAUG